ensembl:snRNA U2 U2 spliceosomal RNA
AUUAAUUCCUGACCAUUUGGCUAAGAUCAAAUGUGUAUGUAUUUUUAUCAGCUUAAUAUAAGAUACAUCUUCUAUCUGAGGACAACAUAUUAAAUAGAUUUGGGAUCUGAAAGAUGGGAUUGGAGCUUGCGCCACCAAUUCCAUGCGUGGACCAUGUGUCACAGCAUCUCCAUAAACGGUAUACCCCUA